rnacentral:misc_RNA from 1 species
GAUGAAGAACGCAGCGAAAUGCGAUAAGUAAUGUGAAUUGCAGAAUUCAGUGAAUCAUCGAGUUUUUGAACGCACAUUGCGCCCCUUGGUAUCCCGAGGGGCAUGCCUGUUCGAGCGUCAUUUCACCACUCAAGCCUGGCUUGGUGUUGGGCGACGUCCUCUUUGGGGACGCGCCUCGAAACGCUCGGCGGCGUGGCACCGGCUUUAAGCGUAGCAGAAUCUUUCGCUUUGGAAGUCGGGGCCCCGUCUGCCGGAAGACCUGCUCGCAAGGUUGACCUCGGAUCAGGCAGGGAUACCCGCUGAACUUAAGCAUAUCAAUAAGCGGAGGA